UUGAUUUUUUGGGGGGGUUUAGGAUUUCCAGGGGAAAAUUCCAGAGUUUUUCUUGGUUCUAGGGUUGUCAAAAAACAACAAAAAAAAUUGGUUUUGUUGAGAUUAGGAUUGCUAGGGGGAAAUUCCAGAGUUUUUUCUUGGGUUUAGGAUUGCCAGGGGAAAAUUCCACAUUUUUUCUUGUUUCUAGGGUUGUGAAACAACAAAAAAACCCAAUUUUUUGUUUGGUUUAGGAUUUCCAGGGGAACAUUCCAGAGUUUUUCUUGGUUCUAGGUUUGUCAAACAACAAAAAAAAAUUUGGUUUUGUUUGGUUUAGGAUUAUCAGGGAAACAUUCCAGAGCUUUUGUUGCUUCUAGGGUUGUCAACCAAGAAUUCCAUUGUUUAUUUUGGGUUUAGGCUUGCCAGGGGAAAAUUCCACAUUUUUUUCUUGGUUCUAGGGUUGUCAAACAACAAAAAAAUUGGUUUUAUUUAGUUUAGGAUUAUCAGGGGAACAUUCCACAUUUUUUCUUGGCUCUAGGGUUGUCAAAAAACAACAAAAAAAUUGGUUUUGUUGAGAUUAGGAUUGCUAGGGGGAAAUUCCAGAGUUUUUCAUGGUUCUAGCAUUGUCGAACAACAAAAAAAAAAUUGGUUUUAUUUGGUUUAGGAUUAUCAGGGGAACAUUCCAGAGUUUUUCAUGGUUCUAGGGUUGUCAAACAACAACAACAAAAAAAUUGGUUUUUUGGAAAGCACAAAACACCUUUUGGGAAGAAAAUAUCAAAAAUGGGAAAGUACUGGGGGACACAUGCGGGGUUAAUUUACCAAACAUUCCCAACUGGAGAAAAUCUGAAUUUAUUUACCAAGGAGAAAUUGAUGAUGGAGAAAUGGAAGAUGGAGGAGAAAUGCUUCAAGAAGGGAGCAGGGGAUGUCCCAAAAAGUGGUCCCAUCCCCUUGGGGUCGUUACGAACCUUGCAGAGGGGGGUCCUGGGAGGAAAAUGGCACGAAAAGAAAAGAGACACCUGCCUGGAGAUCAUCUCUGCCGGGACUCGAACCCGGAACCUCUGGAUUAGAAGUCCAGCGCGCUCGUCCAUUGCGCCACAGAGACCUCACCGUGAGGGGAGCGGCGGCGGCUCCGGAACUGAGGAAUCCCCACCUCCGGAGCCCCCUCCCGCUCCCAGGCGGGCUGGAAUUAUCCCAGGGAUGAUCCAUUUCUGGCCCGAUGCAGCAAGAAGCCGCCGGUACCCGCCUCCCCAGCAACGGUUUCCGCAGCAUCCCCGAGCACAGCGAAAUCCCGGAGCAGAAUCCGUCGCUGCGUCUCCCUCUCAGCAUCCGCACGAGGCAAGGGAUAAAGGUGGGAAGAGGAUUUAGAGGAAAAAAAAGGGAGGAAAAAAAAAAAAAAGCACCCAGGAGCUGAGGUUUGAGCGUGGGUUUCCUUUCAGCGAGACGUCAGGCACGGGG
rnacentral:tRNA from 1 species